GUGAGGAAUAUUGGUCAAUGGACGGAAGUCUGAACCAGCCAUGCCGCGUGCAGGAAUAAGGUCCUAUGGAUUGUAAACUGCUUUUAUUCGGGAAUAAACCUCUUUACGUGUAGGGAGCUGAAGGUACCGAAGGAAUAAGCACCGGCUAACUCCGUGCCAGCAGCCGCGGUAAUACGGAGGGUGCAAGCGUUAUCCGGAAUCAUUGGGUUUAAAGGGUCCGCAGGCGGGCUAUCAAGUCAGAGGUGAAAUCCCACAGCUUAACUGUGGAACUGCCUUUGAAACUGAUGGUCUUGAAUGAAGUGGGCGUUGGCGGAAUAUGACAUGUAGCGGUGAAAUGCAUAGAUAUGUCAUGGAACACCGAAAGCGAAGGCAGCUAACGAUACUUAUAUUGACGCUCAUGGACGAAAGCGUGGGUAGCGAACAGGAUUAGAAACCCGGGUAGUCC
rnacentral:rRNA from 1 species